AAGUCGUAACAAGGUUUCCGUAGGUGAACCUGCGGAAGGAUCAUUGAACACAGUAGAUCUCUACUGCUCGGGGGAGCCGAAUGGCCUUGGUCUAAUCGUUUAGCCAGGUCAAAGUAAGCUCCCUGUCUGCACCCUUGUCUUUUGCGCACUCAUGUUUCCUCGGCGGGCUUGCCCGCCGAUUGGACAAUCAUCAAACCUUUUUAAUUUUCAAUCAGCGUCUGAAUAGUUAUAAUAAUUACAA
rnacentral:misc_RNA from 1 species